rnacentral:rRNA from 1 species
AUUGAACGCUGGCGGCAUGCUUUACACAUGCAAGUCGAACGGCAGCGCGGGGGCAACCCUGGCGGCGAGUGGCGAACGGGUGAGUAAUGCAUCGGAACGUAUCCUGUAAUGGGGGAUAACGUAGCGAAAGUUACGCUAAUACCGCAUACGCUCGAGAGAGGAAAGUGGGGGAUCGCAAAGACCUCACGUUAUAGGAGCGGCCGAUGUCCGAUUAGCUAGUUGGUGGGGUAAAGGCCUACCAAGGCGACGAUCGGUAGCUGGUCUGAGAGGAUGAUCAGCCACACUGGGACUGAGACACGGCCCAGACUCCUACGGGAGGCAGCAGUGGGGAAUUUUGGACAAUGGGCGAAAGCCUGAUCCAGCCAUGCCGCGUGCGGGAAGAAGGCCUCCGGGUUGUAAACCGCUUUAGUCCGGGAAAAAGGGUGCGAGGAUAAUACCCUCGUGCUUUGAUGGUACUGGAAGAUAAGCACCGGCUAACUACGUGCCAGCAGCCGC